ACGUGUCCAUCAAGAAGAGCAGGGAAUGUUCCAGGCCGUGUGCAGGCCUGUUCCAAGUUAACUUGAUGAAACACGGCGGUGGCAUCUGGCAGGAAGACCGGCACCCUCCGGGCCAGACCCUGGUCCCCCGGCGGCAGGGCUGGGCUUUACCUGUUUCCGUAAGUCCUGAGCCGACCGAUGCAGAGGAGGGGGGUGGUGAGCGGGGAGCCCCCUGGCAGAGGAGCCCGCGGAGGGGGCCGCUGGGGGGCGGCUCGCGGAAGCCUGCUCCCUCCGGCCGUCGGCCCGGGGAUCACUGUGCCUCUCCUUCGCCGGCGUGGCCUCUUUGCUUUUGUGUUUCGGAACAGGUUCCUUCUCCCGAGAUGACCUGCUGGAACCAUUGAAAACUGGAAAGUAACGAGAGAGGAAGAACAAAGUCACUACAGAGGAUGCUGCCUGCUGCCAGGUACCCUAAAUCCCCCAAAGACAAAAGGAGAAAGAGAAGGAAAACAUUCUGGACAAACAUCACAUCUCACAUGCUCUCAAGACCCAACCUCAAGUCAAAACAACCACCACAAAGGACAGGAAUGAUCCUAAACACAGACAGACCAAAGAAAGUUAUAAACACAUGCUAGGAAUUAUCUGCUUUGGUUGAAACCAUUGAAAAAUCCAUUUAAAAAAAUCCCUACAGGGACUUGCCUGGUGGCACAGUGGUUAAGAAUCUGCCAGUGCAGAGGACACGGGUUCGAGCCCUGGUCCAGGAAGAUCCCACAUGCUGCGGAGCAACGAAGCCCGUGUGACACAGCUACCUAAGCCCGCGUGCCUAGAGCCCGUGCUCCGCAACAAGAGAAGCCACCACAAUGAGAAGCCCGCACUCCGCAAUGAAGAGUAGCCCCCACUCGCCGCAACUAGAGAGAGCCCGCGUGCAGCAACAAAGACCCAACGCAGCCAAAAAUAAAUAAAUUAAUUAAUUAAUAGGAAAAAAAAAAAAAAAAAAAAAAAGAAACCAACACAGUCACAUUCCACGAACAGGACGACCUCAUGUAUAAACAUACAGGGGAUCUGAAAAAAGAAUAUAUUCUUCAGUUUAAAGUAACGCAUUUAAGGCUGCAGAUCUGCUGAUGGAUAUGGGUCAGGACACAGCUGCUUCAUCUGACCCCUCAGUGACCAGAGAAGAGGGACAGAGAGGGCACAGGUGCUCUGAGCCGGACCCGUUUCUAUCCCAGGAGUCACCACACACCUGCAAGUGUUAAGUGUUUGCCGACAGCCCAGGGGCCAUGGUCAGGCGGGGAAGUCACUCAGCCUCUGAAUCCAAGGGGACUGGACCUUAUCCUCACGCCCAUUUUACGGAGGACGCCAACGGAAGGCGAGUGCCGAGCCCAGGCCCUGCUGCCUCCCAGGCCCCCCCUCCCGGUCCCCAGGUUGUGCUCAGUGCUGGCUCCCCGUGUGCCUGCUGCACACCCCCAAACCCGCUUCGGGGGGUUGAGAGGAGACCAGCAUCACGCUGCUGCCCUGAGGUUUCUCCUCUGUUCACAGCCGGGGCUCGCACUCCAGGAAAGAGCCGGUGGGCCCGGCACUCCUCCACGGCGUCCACAAGCCCUUCACAUCUGCUCCUCUGGCUCCCGCAGGUCCCCCCACCCAUCGCAAAUCCCCCGGGGAAGGUGGCCUCUUUCUCCAGGGAAGGAGGAAGGAUGCCCCAUGCGUGGCUGCCCGGCCCCACGAGCUCCAGGCAGAACAGCCAGGGAAGCCAAGCCGGUGAGCCCUUUCGGCUGUCAUUUCCUGACAGAAGGAGCCUUGAAAGGUCACUGUGCCCACCCGCCCACUGGCCACCUCCACUCCCAGGCUACCCACCCCCCAACCAGGCCUUGCAGAAUUCCAGGCAGAAGUCACCACAGGACGAGGCAGCUGUAAAGAACAACUUCCUCCUCCUUUGAGUUGAAACCUCUUCCUGAAGCUUAAAGACACAGAAGUCAAAGCCCCUCUCCCACUGGUCCGUAAGACAAUAACGUAUGUCUUCCAAGGAUGCCCUUCCCAGUGCCUUCAAUGCUUUCUUUGUCACCCCCAUUUGUCUAAGUGUCCUUUAAAUUACAUUUAUGCCUUGUAGAUUGCAAAUAUUUUCCUCUUUUUUGCUUUUCCAUCUGUUACGUUGCUAAAUCUGCUAACCCACUUUUAAAGUUUCUUAGCUUAGAAAGUUCUCCCAUGAAGCUGGUCAGAGGUGGGGACUUUCUUACAUGCAGCCAGCAGCACCCCGCAAGAAGAAGAAGAAGAAGAA